rnacentral:rRNA from 1 species
GACAGAGGGUGCUAGCGUUGUUCGGAAUUACUGGGCGUAAAGGGCGCGUAGGCGGCCCGUUUAGUCGGGUGUGAAAUCCCGGGGCUCAACCCCGGAACUGCAUUCGAUACUGGCGGGCUUGAGACCGGAAGAGGUGGGUGGAAUACCCAGUGUAGAGGUGAAAUUCGUAGAUAUUGGGUGGAACACCGGUGGCGAAGGCGGCUCACUGGUCCGGUUCUGACGCUGAGGCGCGAAAGCGUGGGGAGCGAACAGG